ensembl:snRNA
AUGUUGUAUGAAAGGAGAGAAUGUUAGCCCUCCCCUUGACAAGGGUAGGAGAGGCCCUUGGGCUUAACAACAUGCAUUUGGUUAAGGCAUUGCUACCUAAUUUGUGGCAUCUAACCACUGCUUUUG